rnacentral:rRNA from 1 species
UACGGAGGGUGCAAGCGUUAUCCGGAUUCACUGGGUUUAAAGGGUGCGUAGGUGGGUUGGUAAGUCAGUGGUGAAAUCCCCGAGCUUAACUUGGGAACUGCCAUUGAUACUAUCAGUCUUGAAUACCGUGGAGGUCGGCGGAAUAUGUCGUGUAGCGGUGAAAUGCUUAGAUAUGACAUAGAACACCAAUUGCGAAGGCAGCUGACUACGCGAGUAUUGACACUGAGGCACGAAAGCGUGGGGAUCAAACAGG